rnacentral:rRNA from 1 species
GACGAACGCUGGCGGCGUGCCUAAUACAUGCAAGUAGAACGCUGAAGGAGGAGCUUGCUCUUCUGGAUGAGUUGCGAACGGGUGAGUAACGCGUAGGUAACCUGCCUGGUAGCGGGGGAUAACUAUUGGAAACGAUAGCUAAUACCGCAUAAAAUUGAUUAUUGCAUGAUAGUCAAUUAAAAGGUGCAAUUGCAUCACUACCAGAUGGACCUGCGUUGUAUUAGCUAGUUGGUGAGGUAACGGCUCACCAAGGCAACGAUACAUAGCCGACCUGAGAGGGUGAUCGGCCACACUGGGACUGAGACACGGCCCAGACUCCUACGGGAGGCAGCAGUAGGGAAUCUUCGGCAAUGGACGGAAGUCUGACCGAGCAACGCCGCGUGAGUGAAGAAGGUUGUCGGAUCGUAAAGCUCUGUUGUAAGAGAAGAACGGGUGUGAGAGUGGAAAGUUCACACUGUGACGGUAUCUUACCAGAAAGGGACGGCUAACUACGUG